UACGGAGGGUGCAAGCGUUGUUCGGAAUUAUUGGGCGUAAAGGGCAGGUAGGUGGUCUUGAAAGUCUACUGUGAAAUCCCCGAGCUUAACUCGGGAAGUGCGGUAGAUACUCCAAGACUUGAGUGCUGGAGGGUGCGUGGAAUUCCCGGUGUAGCGGUGAAAUGCGUAGAUAUGCGGAGGAACACCGAUGGCGAAGGCAAUCCCCUGGGCCUGCACUGACGCUCAGGCACGAAAGCGUGGGGAGCAAACAGG
rnacentral:rRNA from 1 species